UCAUGUUAUUGAGAUGAAUUGAGCAAGACCAAGAAGGAUAACUCGUAUGCAUUCCUAUUAGUUUCGCUUCGGUAAAUGUCGUCACUUUCCGCAACCCUGGUUGCCACGAAGCAUGCGCAAAACCUCCUUCCUUUUGGGAAAUUCUAGAACAACGUGAACAAGCAGACCAGCUACUCAAUCCAAUAUCAUAUCCUUUUUAUUCUGUACAUCAGUGCAGAUUUUGGCUAAGUAAUUUUACGUUCAAUUGCGGAAAUGCUGCGCGCUAAAUCAAAACGGAAAACGGCAUCACCAUAUGCACACCAAGGGACUAGAACAAAGAGGACCUACCAACAGAUAACUACAAGUACCACACAGGAUCCAAGCGCAUCCUGUCCUUCCCAUACAAUGGCCUCCGGAUCAACUGCCACACUGGUCUCCAGUUCUGCCGCGAGGUCUACUCCUGAGACAUCCAGUACAUCAGGUACUGCUUCUCUUGCAACAAACGUUGCAAUAUCUGUCUCGCCCUUAGACAAUCCAAUUCCUCUCAUCAGUGUGUCAGAUGAGUUGGGACUUCACGUGCCCCAAACAAUUAAACACAAAAUAUGGGGGAAAGAGUAUAUAGAACUAGGAAAGGUUUUAGAGUCCGAGUUAGACUCGGAGAGGGGUCAAAAAUUUUCUAUUGUCGAAGGACAAUUAGUUAUGCAACCAAAAAGUAAUACUAAAAAAAUUACGUCUAUUGAUUCGUGGACCGACGCCUUCUUAGUUUUUGCGAGCAUAUACCUGUCAAGACACCCUGCAGACAUACAGGGCAUUCUAAAAUAUGUACAAACCAUUCGCCUUGGAGCUAGUCGUAACCCAACCUGUGCAUGGUUGGAAUAUGACAAACAGUUUAGAUUAAAAAUGUCAAAAAACACGUUUAUAGCGUGGGGGUCAAUCGAUGCAGAAUUGUGGUUACUUUAUAUGUCAAACCACCAAAUCUCACAACCAACUCAGUCGACACCCAAAUGCUAUGACUAUAAUUAUAAGGGCUCGUGUGCAAAAAAUCCUUGCUUAUAUCAGCAUGUGUGCAUGUACUGUCACAAAAAUCAUCCACGCAUACACUGCUGGUCAAAUCAAACCAUUGCAUCAUCUAACUUCAGACCAAAUACACCACAGACAGGCCAAUCAAAUUCACAACUCUAGCUCCCAAUGCAGACAACUUUUCGGCACAAAUCCCUCCAGCAUUAUUGAAUAUCUUAAACCUCAGGUAGAGGACAUUUUAGCAGCAACAGUUUCACAAAAUACUGCUAUAACUUACCAAAGGGGCUUGGAUUCCUUUGCUUUAUUUAGAAAUAAAUAUGCUCUCCCUUUGCUCUGGCCUCCACCAGUCCACCAAUUUGUCAAUUAUAUAGCAUAUCUUUCUUCAAAUUCAGUAUCAUAUUCUACCGCUAGGUGCUACUUGAGUGGCAUUAGCUAUCAACUUCAAAUACAGGGGAAAGAAGAUAAUACAAAAACGUUUAUAGUUAAGAAAAUGCUUGUGGGCUUGCAUAGAUUAAAACCAUCUAAAGAUGUUCGGGCACCAAUAACAUUACCCAUGUUAAAUCAAAUUAUUGCUGCACUGCCAACUGUUUGCUCAAAUUUGUAUGAAGCUACACUAUUUGCAUCUGCAUUUGAAUUGGCAUUUUUUGGGUUACUUAGAGUUAGUGAAUUGACAGUUUCUAGCAAGAAGGCAACAGUGCUAUCAUUUCGUGAUGUCAGAGUAUCCAUUUCAGAAAUUCAGUUGCUCUUAAAGGGUUCCAAAACGGAUCAACUGUGCAAAGGUGCAACAAUACAAAUUGCAUUCAGUAGUGAAACAUCUACCUUAUUUAAUCACAUGCACCAAUAUUUCUCUGUAAGGCCCCAUGAUGAAGGUCUGUUUUUCUGCCAUCUCAAUGGUAACCUCUCACUUCAUAUCAGUUUACUGCAAUUCUACACAAAUCAAUCAAAUUUAUUGGGCUCGGCACUUCAACUUUUAAAUCGCAUUCGUUCAGAUUAGGUGGGGCUACUCAUUGUACCUAACGGGGGUUCCUGAAGAAGACAUUAAGAUCAAAGGUAGAUGGAAAUCAAAUGCAAUGUAUUCUUACAUACGGAUAUAAUUGUUGUUUGUAUAAUGCACCUAGCAACGUCAAAAUACUUUAUGCUAACAAGUAUACAAAGUUUGCAGGUGCAAAUAUCAAAGUAUGGAUAAUUGCAUCAUCCUUAAUUCAUUACGCACAUCAUCAUGCUUUCACCAUUUAUGCGGACCAGCACUUGCAUCUACAGGCCCACAACAUCUCAUUAAAAUGGUUUGGUAAGAGAGGCAUGAUUUGGGAGGACGUGGAGCCCAAGUUACGUGAACUCAUUGGUCAGUUUGGAUAUCCCAAUGUUUUAAUGUUACAUUGUGGGGGGAAUAGCAUUGGUACUAUGUCAUUGCGCCAUCUCCAAAAGUUCAUGAAACUUACAAUUGUCAAUAUUCAAAACAUGCUACCUAAUUGUAGAAUAAUAUGGUCUCAAAUCCUUCCCUGAAAAUAUUAUAGACAUAUGUUUUCACCUGAAGCUGCUGAAAAAGCACGGGUUCGAAUAAACACUUCCCUGUCAAAUUUCAUUUUGGCAAGAAAUGGAGGUUAUAUUAAUUACCCAGACUUAAAGCAAUGUACACUAAAAUUGUUUCCAGAUGGUACCCAUUUGUCUGAUGUAGCACAAAAUCUAUUUUUGAAUGGCAUACAGGGUGGCUUGUACAGUAUUAUUCGUAAAAACGUCCAGAUCUACCCACCCCCUUUGUAAUGCAGUUUUGUCGUGGCAUGGGCAAAAUUAACCCGUUUUUGGCGGAUGUCUUCUUGCAUCUUUGCUACUGCUGCAGUUGCAUGUCGACAUAUGGCCGAAUUUUGCUUGAAGCGCCGCUGCAGGUUCUGUUAUCUUCCAGAGUCUGCGGCCAAUAAUUGUGCUUCCGUCAUUGUUUCAUUGUCAUUGAACAUUCUACAUCAUAUACUAUUGAUAAAGUCGAUGUAGACCAUUGUGUGUGAACUCGUUGAUGAUCAUUGAUAUUUGCGUCUCAACUGCAUGUUGACAAUUUUAUUCCUAUACAGUAUUGAACCAUUGAACAGUCAUUGAUCAUUGUAUAUAUUCAUUGCAUUGUACCACUGAACAGUCAUUGAUACUUGUAUGCAUUGUAUUAUUAUUAAUUUCUCAAUUUAUCUCAAAGUAAAGCCAUGACAAAAACUGCCAAAACAUUGUUGCUUUAUUCUAUCGAAAUAAUCCGACUUAACUCGCUUAUGAGUUAAGUCAUGUUAUUGAGAUGAAUUGAGCAAGACCAAGAAGGAUAACUCGUAUGCAUUCCUAUUAGUUUCGCUUCGGUAAAUGUCGUCACUUUCCGCAACCCUGGUUGCCACGAAGCAUGCGCAAAACCUCCUUCCUUUUGGGAAAUUCUAGAACAACGUGAACAAGCAAUCCCUCCCUCCCACCCAAUUUUUACUAUAAUUGCAGUUUUUGAAUAAUUUUCACGUAUUUAUCUUUUGGUUUGUUUCUGCUGUCUCCUUUUAUAUUUCUUAGGAUGAUGUUUAACUCCUGUACCAUGUUAACGACAUCGACGUUCCACGUUAUGGCUUUACUCAUUGUGCUGCUUGACGGUGUCUGCCGAAUUUUGCUUGAAGCGCCGCUGCAGGUUCUGUUAUCUUCCAGAGUCUGCGGCCAAUAAUUGUGCUUCCGUCAUUGUUUCAUUGUCAUUGAACAUUCUACAUCAUAUACUAUUGAUAAAGUCGAUGUAGACCAUUGUGUGUGAACUCGUUGAUGAUCAUUGAUAUUUGCGUCUCAACUGCAUGUUGACAAUUUUAUUCCUAUACAGUAUUGAACCAUUGAACAGUCAUUGAUCAUUGUAUAUAUUCAUUGCAUUGUACCACUGAACAGUCAUUGAUACUUGUAUGCAUUGUAUUAUUAUUAAUUUCUCAAUUUAUCUCAAAGUAAAGCCAUGACAAAAACUGCCAAAACAUUGUUGCUUUAUUCUAUCGAAAUAAUAACCAGGACUGAGUUUUACAGCCCACAAUUUAUAAACAAUGACAUGUGACGUCAUGUUCUAUGUUUUGACAUCAUAUAUAAUGCAAAUGAUGAAGUGGCGGAUCUAAUAUUGAAGAGACUGCUCUGUGCAACAUAAAAUACCGCUCACUUGAGGUAUUCAAUUUCAAUCCCAAUUGGGAGUUUGGUUUAAAUAAUGUUAUUUAAAUCUAGCAAAAAUACGUAGAAUCAGUCGGGGACAGGGUGCUCUCUCUCUCUCUCUCUCUCUCUCUCUCUCUCUCUCUGUGUGUGUGUGUGUUACUGUUUGACAUUUUUUAACGUGACGAUGUCAAUUUUGCGUAAAUUUCAUAUACAAAAUAACAUAUAGGCUAUAUAUUAAUUUACGUGACCCUCUCCCGGGCCCAAUUUGUGUGCCUGCACGCCAAAAAUGAGCCUUGCUACUAUACAUGCUAACAAACUCUGUAUAUCAAAUUCUACUGAGGCUUUUGAAUGAGUCUCAGUAAAUGAGGGGAGAGAUCCUAAUAUGGUAGGUCUACAUAAAGCAAAUUAUUUAUUAUAUGCGAAUGCUGUAGGCCUAAUAUAAUUUAAUCAUUGUAUUAGAUAUUCGUGUAGUAGUGUGUUUUUAUCUUAAUUAAAAAAAACUAUCAUGCAAAAUGUUCACGUUUUAACUGAUAGAUCCACCCCAUGAAAGUUUGUAGUCAUGUGGUCAAGUAUAAAGGGCUUGUAUUGAACUUUCAUUGGUUCUUGUGACUGAGUUUUAUUCAGGUACUUUUACCAGAGAUUUUGAAGUAAAAAGUUGACAAAAAGUUCUAGUUUGCUGACAAGACAUGUUUAUGAUAUUUUAGACUUUAUACGGACUGGACAAUUUAUUUCUGGAACAUCCAAUUGAUAUCAAAUCAUAGCUAGUAUAUGCACUGGGCUCUCUCCCAUAGAGAGAUGUAUCUCCAGGGCGACAUAUGAGAUUAUGGAAAGUGUACAGAGGGCAAACAUAAUGUACAAUCUUGAUCUUUCACACAAAUAGUAGGCAAGGCCAAUGUUGACUGUGUUGCCUAAUGCUUUCCAAGUCGUCAAAC